UACCCUGUAGAGCCGAAUUUGU
rnacentral:miRNA from 1 species